GACGAACGCUGGCGGCGUGCUUAACACAUGCAAGUCGAGCGGAAAGGCCCUUCGGGGUCCUCGAGCGGCGAACGGGUGAGUAACACGUGAGUAACCUGCCCCAGACUUUGGGAUAACCCUCGGAAACGGGGGCUAAUACCGGAUACGACACAGCUUCGCAUGGGGUCUGUGUGGAAAGUUUUUCGGUUUGGGAUGGGCUCGCGGCCUAUCAGCUUGUUGGUGGGGUGAUGGCCUACCAAGGCGACGACGGGUAGCCGGCCUGAGAGGGCGACCGGCCACACUGGGACUGAGACACGGCCCAGACUCCUACGGGAGGUAGCAGUGGGGAAUAUUGCACAAUGGGCGGAAGCCUGAUGCAGCGACGCCGCGUGAGGGAUGACGGCCUUCGGGUUGUAAACCUCUUUCAGCAGGGACGAAGCGUAAGUGACGGUACCUGCAGAAGAAGCGCCGGCCAACUACGUG
rnacentral:rRNA from 1 species